UCCGGAGGGGGCGAUCGUUAAUCGGAAUUACUGGGCGUAAAGCGUCCGUAGGCGGCUUGUUAAGUCUGAUGUGAAAGCCCUGGGCUUAACCUGGGAACGGCAUUGGAUACUGGCGAGCUAGAGUUCGGUAGAGGGUGGUGGAAUUCCCGGUGUAGCGGUGAAAUGCGUAGAGAUCGGGAGGAACACCGGUGGCGAAGGCGGCCACCUGGACCGAGACUGACGCUGAGGGACGAAAGCGUGGGGAGCAAACAGG
rnacentral:rRNA from 1 species